ACGCUAGCUACAGGCUUAACACAUGCAAGUCGAGGGGAAACGGCAUUUAGUGCUUGCACCGAAUGGACGUCGACCGGCGCACGGGUGAGUAACGCGUAUCCAACCUACCCAUUACUGUGGGAUAACCUGCCGAAAGGCAGACUAAUACCGCAUAGUCUUCGAUGACGGCAUCAGAUUUGAAGUAAAGAUUUAUCGGUAAUGGAUGGGGAUGCGUCUGAUUAGCUUGUUGGCGGGGUAACGGCCCACCAAGGCAACGAUCAGUAGGGGUUCUGAGAGGAAGGUCCCCCACAUUGGAACUGAGACACGGUCCAAACUCCUACGGGAGGCAGCAGUGAGGAAUAUUGGUCAAUGGGCGCGAGCCUGAACCAGCCAAGUAGCGUGCAGGAUGACGGCCCUAUGGGUUGUAAACUGCUUUUGUAUGGGGAUAAAGUCAAUCACGUGUGAUUGUUUGCAGGUACCAUACGAAUAAGGACCGGCUAAUUCCGUGCCAGCAGCCGCGGUAAUACGGAAGGUCCGGGCGUUAUCCGGAUUUAUUGGGUUUAAAGGGAGCGUAGGCUGGAGAUUAAGUGUGUUGUGAAAUGUAGACGCUCAACGUCUGACUUGCAGCGCAUACUGGUUUCCUUGAGUACGCACAACGUUGGCGGAAUUCGUCGUGUAGCGGUGAAAUGCUUAGAUAUGACGAAGAACUCCGAUUGCGAAGGCAGCUGACGGGAGCGCAACUGACGCUUAAGCUCGAAGGUGCGGGUAUCGAACAGGAUUAGAUACCCUGGUAGUCCGCACAGUAAACGAUGGAUGCCCGCUGUUGGUACCUGGUAUCAGCGGCUAAGCGAAAGCAUUAAGCAUCCCACCUGGGGAGUACGCCGGCAACGGUGAAACUCAAAGGAAUUGACGGGGGCCCGCACA
rnacentral:rRNA from 1 species